UUACGGCCAUAUCACGUUGAAACACCUCUUCUCAUACCAUGACCAAAGUUAAGCAACGUCGAGGGUGAUCAGUACUAUGAUGGGUGACUGCUUGUGAAUUCCAG